AACGAACGCUGGCGGCGCGCUUAACACAUGCAAGUCGAACGAGAAGCUGUAGCAAUACAGUUGUACAGUGGCGAACGGGUGAGGAAUACAUGGGUAACCUACCCUCGAGUGGGGAAUAACCAGCCGAAAGGCUGGCUAAUACCGCGUACGCUUCCCAAUCUGCGGGUUGGGAAGGAAAGCUCUACCGUGGGUAGAGCGCUCAAGGACGGGCUCAUGUCCUAUCAGCUUGNGGUAGGGUAACGGCCUACCAAGGCAACGACGGGUAGCUGGUCUGAGAGGACGAUCAGCCACACUGGCACUGCGACACGGGCCAGACUCCUACGGGAGGCAGCAGUGAGGAAUAUUGCGCAAUGGGCGACAGCCUGACGCAGCGACGCCGCGUGGGGGA
rnacentral:rRNA from 1 species